GAUGAACGCUGGCGGCGUGCCUAAUACAUGCAAGUCGAGCGAACAGACGAGGAGCUUGCUCCUCUGACGUUAGCGGCGGACGGGUGAGUAACACGUGGAUAACCUACCUAUAAGACUGGGAUAACUUCGGGAAACCGGAGCUAAUACCGGAUAACAUGUUGAACCGCAUGGUUCAACAGUGAAAGACGGUCUUGCUGUCACUUAUAGAUGGAUCCGCGCCGCAUUAGCUAGUUGGUAAGGUAACGGUUUACCAAGGCAACGAUGCGUAGCCGACCUGAGAGGGUGAUCGGCCACACUGGAACUGAGACACGGUCCAGACUCCUACGGGAGGCAGCAGUAGGGAAUCUUCCGCAAUGGGCGAAAGCCUGACGGAGCAACGCCGCGUGAGUGAAGAAGGUCUUCGGAUCGUAAAACUCUGUUAUUAGGGAAGAACAAAUGUGUAAGUAACUAUGCACGUCCUGACGGUACCUAAUCAGAAAGCCACGGCUAACUACGUG
rnacentral:rRNA from 1 species